UGUAAAUUACACUGUAUUUUACUGUAAUAUGAACUGUAUUUUACCGUAGGGCAUGUUAUACAGUAUGUUGCUGUAUUUUGAUGUUGCAUUGUGGGAAAUGUAAUCUUUGUGCCAGUAAAAUACUGUAUUUUCUAUUUACUGUAAAAUUUACAGUUAAUUAAAAAUACUGUAUUUUAAUAGCAGGUGGUGCUAAUUUGUUUUUUGGGGAUUAACUCUCUGAUUAAGCUAUCUUAUACAAAUAAUGUAAUAUUAUUGUAUUUAUAUAUUGAUUUAAAAUGUAAAGUAAAAUUCAGAAGACUUAAACAAAGUCCUAAAAACAAUCAAACAACUAAAUUAGUGCAAGUAGAGCUGAUUUAUUUAUCAAAACACAAUAUAAUCAUCUUCAUUAAAGUAUUUUGUAUAUUCGAAUUAAUUUAUAAAUGUAAGUGUUUAAAAAUUAGAGAUAGGUUUUGCCGGUUGUUGAUGAGUGAUGAAUACCAGGUGUGAAUUUUCUCAACGCGUGUAAGCAGCCAAGACACAGGAAACCGAAACAGUGUUCCAAUAUAAAGUGAGGGUCCUUGACAGUGGCCGAACCCGCAUACUACACGAUAUAAUGAUUCCCCACCUCGGGAGCUAUAGGGAACGAAUUGAGACACAGCCCUGGAUGUAAUCACGUCUGUGCUGAUCACGUGCCUGUACACAAACCCGCCGCAGCUCACUUGCGAAAGAUUAUCCUGUUAUUUAUUACACGUAUAGUAAACGUUUUUAAUGUUAUCAUGAAUCAAUGUUAUAGUUUUGUAUGUCACAUUAUUUUUUGAGAAGAGUCAUGACUCAACGCGGACCUUACACGCUGUUAAUUUGUGUGUGCAUAUGGCCAAGGUACAGUGCGCUCUUUUGCACUCUAUGACCAGCCAUCAUUAAAUCGAAAUACAGUAAAAAAAAUGAGCGCGAAACCCUGACACUUUACAGAAAGGCACGGAUAUCCCCGCCCGAAGAAAAAAAGAACACAGGACAAUGGUUGCAAGUUAAACAGCUGAACAUUUCACCAUCUGCAAAGAACAUUUCACCAUCGACAUAUCAACAUAAACGGUUCUCUUUUUCGUGUUUGACUGUGUUUGGUACAGGUGAGUGUUCAUAUGAAAUGCUAGGCGACAAACUGAGCUUUUGUGUUUAACGCUAUUUUGAAGUCAGUCUCUCAGUUUCUCUCUAACAUGCACAUCUAACAAGGAAUAAUUGACGAUGGGUCGUUGAAUUAAAUUGAUAUAACUACCAGUAAGAAAAAGUGUGUGUGUGUGUGUGUGUGUGUGUGUGUGUGUGUGUGUGUGUGUGUGUGUGUGUGUGUGUGUGUGUGUGUGUGUGUGUGUGUGUGUGUGUGUGUGCGCGCGUGUGCAGGUCACAACAACAACGGCAGAUGCAGAGACCACGCUUUCCCUUGCUUCUACUCCACGGCUGAUCAUGCUUGAGGAUCCAGAUCUACAAAACAAAAAAUGGAUGCUGCCGAUUGAAGGCAAAGUCCGCUUUCCUGCGAUUGACCUACCAUUUCUUCAGCUUUUGCUGUUCACUUUGGUUGCUACUACGUGCUCAACAUCGAGUACCAAGUGGAAGCAGCCACUACUUUGGAGUUUAUUCAGAGAUUUAUUGUGAGGAUCAGCCCCGACAACAGCAAGUGCUCCUCUAAGUUCCAGGUGAGCAAAAGAAGUGGGAAGAUGGUGCAAAGGAAGAACUCUGGCCUGAACCAUCAUGUAUAUAUCCACCUUUAUUAAGGACUUUAUGAAUUAAGCAAAACUAUUAAGCUACUAAAGCAAAUACAUUCUACUCAACUCACCAGAGGUUUGUGAAGUUCUUUUUUAUCUUAAAGGUUUCUUUUAGUUAAUUUGUCCAUGCACUGAUUUAUAAUAUUGUAAUAUGAAACUCCAGUGUAUACAUGUUACUACUGUUGCUUCUAAAAGCAAAAUAAGUCUACGCAGGAGAGGUUUUGUUACGUUUUUUUUAUUAUUCUUAUAGACGGUUUCAUCGGAUGCACGUGAUACACGUCUGGAUCCGAACCUUACUUCCGGUUUCGCUUUUUUAAUGGUCUGACUAGUUGCUAAACUGAUCUCUUGAACAAAUGCCUCGUCGAAAAUAACAAAUGUUUUGGUUUCCGAGCUAAUCUAUAUGUUUUUUUUUUUUUUGCUUGUUAUAUAAAUAAAAUGCGUUUAAAGAACUUUGUUGUUUUUAUUCUUAGCGGAGUUUAUCGGAAGUUCAUGCGGACCGCGACAGCCGUUUGUUUAUGUUGUUACUGCUGAAACCGUCUAUAGUUAUAACUGAAUUUGUACUAAGAUUAUUUGAUAAUACUGUGAAAUGAAACGGUGAGUAAAUGUUACAUUGGCUUUGAAAAAGCUGUUGCUGCAAGAAAUUACAAUGUACUCAGAAUAAUAUUUUCAAUGUAUAAGUUUUUGACAUUGCUUAUGACUGCAUUUGAAUGUAUUGUUCAUGAAUUGAUGCUGUGAUAUGUGUGUGUAAAUGUUUUGUGUGUUACAGGAUAAAAGAUUUGCUAAAAGUAUUUUGUAUUUGAACAUUGUUAUUAUGACUGAGUUAGUGCAUGACUUGAUUUAAAAUUCUGUAAUAUGAUAUCUAUGAGUAAAUGUUAUUGCCGGUUUGAGAAAAACAGUUUGUGAUGCAAGCUGAAAGUUCAAUGUGCAAAAAUAUGAAAAUCUGAUUUCAUGUAUUUGAAAAACUAAAAGAAAUUUUAAAAACAUGUUGUCAUUGCUUAUUUUUGUUUUUACUUAAAGCUGUUUUAACACCUCCAUUUAAAUUUUGUGCAGUUUUGUAGUAAAUAGAAAUGGGAAAAUGAAUCACAGGAAAUUUUACGGUAAAAUACACAUUGUAAUAUAUACAUUGUAGUAUAAAAUUAUUGUAUAUUUUACAGUAGAAAAUAUAAUAUACUGUAAAUA